GACGAACCGACCGAACGUUAUUCGGAAUUACUGGGCUUAAAGGGUGCGUAGGCGGCCAUGCAAGUCAGAUGUGAAAUCCCACGGCUCAACCGUGGAACUGCGUUUGAAACUGCAUGGCUUGAGGGAGAUAGGGGUGAGCGGAACUGAUGGUGGAGCGGUGAAAUGCGUUGAUAUCAUCAGGAACACCGGUGGCGAAGGCGGCUCACUGGGUCUCUUCUGACGCUGAGGCACGAAAGCUAGGGGAGCGAACGGG
rnacentral:rRNA from 1 species